GUGGCCGUGGUGCAGCAGUAGGGCGGUCGACCCAUGAUCGUUAGGUUGCAGGUUCAAUUCCUGCCCGGCACA
rnacentral:tRNA from 1 species